rnacentral:rRNA from 1 species
AUACAGAGGGUGCAAGCGUUAAUCGGAUUUACUGGGCGUAAAGCGCGCGUAGGUGGCUAAUUAAGUCAAAUGUGAAAUCCCCGAGCUUAACUUGGGAAUUGCAUUCGAUACUGGUUAGCUAGAGUAUGGGAGAGGAUGGUAGAAUUCCAGGUGUAGCGGUGAAAUGCGUAGAGAUCUGGAGGAAUACCGAUGGCGAAGGCAGCCAUCUGGCCUAAUACUGAACCUGAGGUGGGAAAGCAUGGGGAGCAAACAGGAUUAGAUACCCUGGUAGUCCAUGCCGUAAACGAUGUCUACUAGCCGUUGGGGCCCUUGAGGCUUUAGUGGCGCAGCUAACGCGAUAAGUAGACCGCCUGGGGAGUACGGUCGCAAGACUAAAACUCAAAGGAAUUGACGGGG